GAUUAGAGUUUGAUCCUGGGUCAGAUUGAACGCUGGCGGCAGGCCUAACACAUGCAAGUCGAACGGUAGCACAGAGAGCUUGCUCUCGGGUGACGAGUGGCGGACGGGUGAGUAAUGUCUGGGAAACUGCCUGAUGGAGGGGGAUAACUACUGGAAACGGUAGCUAAUACCGCAUAAUGUCGCAAGACCAAAGAGGGGGACCUUCGGGCCUCUUGCCAUCGGAUGUGCCCAGAUGGGAUUAGCUAGUAGGUGGGGUAAUGGCUCACCUAGGCGACGAUCCCUAGCUGGUCUGAGAGGAUGACCAGCCACACUGGAACUGAGACAUGGUCCAGACUCCUACGGGAGGCAGCAGUGGGGAAUAUUGCACAAUGGGCGCAAGCCUGAUGCAUCUAUGCCGCGUGUAUGAAGAAGGCCUUCGGGUUGUAAAGUACUUUCAGCGAGGAGGAAGGUUUUGUGGUU
rnacentral:rRNA from 1 species